CUGUAGACAUAUGGUGGUGGAGGAGAUUUGUAGUCAACCUUAGGGGAAGGUGAGUAGUAUGGUGGUGGAGGAGAUUUGUAGUCAACCUUAGGGGAAGGUGAGUAGUAUGGUGGUGGUGGUGAACUAUAGACGUAUGGUGGUGGUGGAGAUUUGUAAUCUACCUUAGGGGCAGGUGAGUAGUAUGGUGGUGGGGGUGAGCUGUAGACAUACGGUGGUGGGGGAGAUUUGUAGUCUACCUUCGGGGAAGGUGAGUAGUAUGGUGGUGGUGGUGAGCUAUAGACGUACGGUGGUGGAGGAGAUUUGUAGUCUACUUUAGGGGAAGGUGAGUAGUAUGGUGGUGGUGGUGAGCUGUAGACGUACGGUGGUGGGGGAGAUUUGUAGUCUACCUUAGGGGAAGGUGAGUAGUAUGGUGGUGGUGGUGAGCUGUAGACGUACGGUGGUGGGGGAGACUUGUAAACUACUUUAGGAGAAG
rnacentral:lncRNA from 1 species